GACGAACGCUGGCGGCGUGCUUAACACAUGCAAGUCGAACGGAAAGGCCCUGCUUUUGUGGGGUGCUCGGGUGGCGAACGGGUGAGUAACACGUGAGUAACCUGCCCUUGACUUUGGGAUAACUUCAGGAAACUGGGGCUAAUACCGGAUAGGAGCUCCUGCUGCAUGGUGGGGGUUGGAAAGUUUCGGCGGUUGGGGAUGGACUCGCGGCUUAUCAGCUUGUUGGUGGGGUAGUGGCUUACCAAGGCUUUGACGGGUAGCCGGCCUGAGAGGGUGACCGGCCACAUUGGGACUGAGAUACGGUCCAGACUCCUACGGGAGGCAGCAGUGGGGAAUAUUGCACAAUGGGCGGAAGCCUGAUGCAGCAACGCCGCGUGCGGGAUGACGGCCUUCGGGUUGUAAACCGCUUUCGCCUGUGACGAAGCGUGAGUGACGGUAAUGGGUAAAGAAGCACCGGCUAACUACGUG
rnacentral:rRNA from 1 species